CGGAGGGUGCAAGCGUUAUCCGGAUUUAUUGGGUUUAAAGGGUCCGUAGGCGGACUCGUAAGUCAGUGGUGAAAUCUCAUAGCUUAACUAUGAAACUGCCAUUGAUACUGCGGGUCUUGAGUAAAGUAGAAGUGGCUGGAAUAAGUAGUGUAGCGGUGAAAUGCAUAGAUAUUACUUAGAACACCAAUUGCGAAGGCAGGUCACUAUGUUUUAACUGACGCUGAUGGACGAAAGCGUGGGGUAGCGAACAGGAUU
rnacentral:rRNA from 1 species